UGGAUCGAUGAUGACCACUCACGAUGUAUGAUCUGGGGAUCAUGAGUACAGGUCUGGGAGUCUGAGGUCCAC